AACGAACGCUGGCGGCAGGCCUAACACAUGCAAGUCGAGCGAAGCCUUCGGGCUUAGCGGCGGACGGGUGAGUAGCGCGUGGGAACGUGCCCUUUGCUACGGAAUAGCCCCGGGAAACUGGGAGUAAUACCGUAUGUGCCCUUCGGGGGAAAGAUUUAUCGGCAAAGGAUCGGCCCGCGUUGGAUUAGGUAGUUGGUGGGGUAAUGGCCUACCAAGCCGACGAUCCAUAGCUGGUGUGAGAGGAUGAUCAGCCACACUGGGACUGAGACACGGCCCAGACUCCUACGGGAGGCAGCAGUGGGGAAUCUUAUACAAUGGGCGCAAGCCUGAUCUAGCCAUGCCGCGUGAUCGAUGAAGGCCUUAGGGUUGUAAAGAUCUUUCAGGUGGGAAGAUAAUGACUGUACCACCAGAAGAAGCCCCGGCUAACUCCGUGCCAGCCGCCGCGGUAAGAC
rnacentral:rRNA from 1 species